rnacentral:tmRNA from 1 species
GGGGGCGACUUGGCUUCGACCGGGUUGCUGACUCCUCCGAGUGGCGUGCCGAGGUUCCCAGGAGGCCUCGUAAAUCACCUGGGAAACACUUAGCUGGCAACAACAGCUACGCUCUGGCUGCCUGAAAAGGCUGCCCGUUCCCCCGGUUUGAGCCUGCCGGAUCGGGGGAACGUCACUUGCAGGCUGGCUCUGGCCCCUCGAUCCGCGGGGUUGGGGCGAGAUCAUGCGGAUUGGCUGGACGCAGGGGUCUGUCGGACGGACCCGCGCGAGGCGAGAGCAGAACGGUCCGACUACGCACGUAGAUGCUUUGGGGAGGGCGCCUUGGGACGCGGGUUCGAUUCCCGCCGCCUCCACCA